GUAGGUGGCAAGCGUUGUCCGGAAUUAUUGGGCGUAAAGCGCGCGCAGGCGGCCCUUUAAGUCUGAUGUGAAAGCCCACGGCUCAACCGUGGAGGGUCAUUGGAAACUGGGGGACUUGAGUACGGAAGAGGAAAGCGGAAUUCCAAGUGUAGCGGUGAAAUGCGUAGAGAUUUGGAGGAACACCAGUGGCGAAGGCGGCUUUCUGGUCUGUAACUGACGCUGAGGCGCGAAAGCGUGGGGAGCAAACAGGAUUAGAUACCCUGGUAGUCCACGCCGUAAACGAUGAGUGCUAAGUGUUAGGGGGUUUCCCGCCCCCUUAGUGCUGCAGCUAACGCAUUAAGCACUCCGCCUGGGGAGUACGGCCGCAAGGCUG
rnacentral:rRNA from 1 species